GGUUCCGUGGCUCAGCGGUAGAGCAUCUGCUUUGCAUUCAGAAGGUCCCAGGUUCAAUCCUCGACAUCUCCA
rnacentral:tRNA from 1 species